rnacentral:rRNA from 1 species
CACAGCCGCGGUAAGACAGAGGAUGCAAGCGUUAUCCGGAAUGAUUGGGCGUAAAGCGCACGUAGGCGGUUAUUCAAGUCAGAGGUGAAAGCCCGGGGCUCAACCCCGGAACUGCCUUUGAAACUAGAUGACUAGAAUCUUGGAGAGGUCAGUGGAAUUCCGAGUGUAGAGGUGAAAUUCGUAGAUAUUCGGAAGAACACCAGUGGCGAAGGCGACACACUGGCUCAUUACUGACGCUGAGGCGCGAAAGCGUGGGGAGCAAACAGGAUUAGAUACCCCAGUAGUCCCUGUCUCUUAUACA